UACGGAGGGGACUAGCGUUGUUCGGAAUUACUGGGCGUAAAGCGUACGUAGGCGGCUUUGUAAGUUAGAGGUGAAAGCCCGGGGCUCAACCCCGGAAUUGCCUUUAAGACUGCAUCGCUUGAACGUCGGAGAGGUGAGUGGAAUUCCGAGUGUAGAGGUGAAAUUCGUAGAUAUUCGGAAGAACACCAGUGGCGAAGGCGACUUACUGGACACAUAUUGACGCUGAGGUGCGAAAGCGUGGGGAGCAAACAGG
rnacentral:rRNA from 1 species